rnacentral:rRNA from 1 species
AGGACGAACGCUGGCGGCGUGCUUAACACAUGCAAGUCGAGCGCAUUUGCUUCCUUCGGGGGGUGGGUGAGCGGCGAACGGGUGAGUAACACGUGGGUGACCUGCCCCCUACUCUGGGAUAAGCCUGAGAAAUUGGGUCUAAUACCGGAUAUGACUCUGAACUGCAUGGUUUGGGGUGGAAAGCUUUUGUGGUGGGGGAUGGGCCCGCGGCCUAUCAGCUUGUUGGUGGGGUGAUGGCCUACCAAGGCUUCGACGGGUA